ensembl:snoRNA SNORA70 Small nucleolar RNA SNORA70
UUGACAAGCAGUUCAGCCAACCAGGUUCCCUUACUCUCAGGGGCCUGCUUUGCAGUGGCUCUGAACACCCCCCACCUUGGUAGUGUAUCAGUGUUUUUCCUAUAUGGACUGUCAUAAGGGACCUUGGAGACAGUG